CCCGCAACGAGCGCAACCCUUGUCUUUAGUUGCUACGCAAGAGCACUCUAGAGAGACUGCCGGUGACAAACCGGAGGAAGGUGGGGAUGACGUCAAGUCCUCAUGGCCCUUAUGGGUAGGGCUUCACACGUCAUACAAUGGUGCGUACAGAGGGUUGCCAACCCGCGAGGGGGAGCUAAUCCCAGAAAACGCAUCGUAGUCCGGAUCGUAGUCUGCAACUCGACUACGUGAAGCUGGAAUCGCUAGUAAUCGCGGAUCAGCAUGCCGCGGUGAAUACGUU
rnacentral:rRNA from 1 species